AACCAGCUCUUCAAGUGGUCGGGAUAAUUAUUGGGCUUAAAGUGUCCGUAGCCGGUUUAGUAAGUUCCUGGUAAAAUCGGGUAGCUUAACUAUCUGCAUGCUAGGAAUACUGCUAUACUAGAGGGCGGGAGAGGUCUGAGGUACUACAGGGGUAGGGGUGAAAUCUUAUAAUCCUUGUAGGACCACCAGUGGCGAAGGCGUCAGACUGGAACGCGCCUGACGGUGAGGGACGAAAGCCAGGGGAGCGAACCGGAUUAGAUACCCGGGUAGUCCUGGCCGUAAACGAUGCAUACUAGGUGAUGGCAUGGCCAUGAGCCAUGUCAGUGCCGUAGGGAAACCGUUAAGUGUGCCGCCUGGGAAGUACGGUCGCAAGGCUAAAACUUAAAGGAAUUGGCGGGGGAGCACCACAAGGGGUGAAGCCUGCGGUUU
rnacentral:rRNA from 1 species